UUUUUUUCUUAAGAAAAUUAGCUUUGUGGAUUUUUUUAGAGUUCUUCAAGUUCUUUAAAUUAGGGAUCUUUUAAAGUCUUGUUGAACUGGGGAAUCAAUCGACUAAUCAAGUGAUUUUGGGAGCAUUUGAAAAGUUUUGGAUGAAGACACAAAAAAGGCAGAAACCUACAUUGGCAGAUGCAUGCUCAUGCAAGUGGUGAUGCACAUCAGUCUUAGAGUCUCCAUCUGCAUAGAAUUUUGUAGACAGAAAUCUGCAUGGGCAGGUGCAUGGUCAUGCAGAUGGUCAUGCGAGAAAGG